AUUGAACGCUAGCGGGAUGCCUUACACAUGCAAGUCGAACGGAGCGGCGAACGGGUGAGUACUGUCUCGGAACGUGCCCAGUAGCGGGGGAUAACUACGCGAAAGCGUAGCCAAUACCGCAUACUAUUGGAGCGGCCUAUAUCGGAUUAGCUAGUUGGUGGGGUAACGGCUCACCAAGGCGACGAUCCGUAGCGGGUUUGAGAGGACAACCAGCACAACUGGGACUGAGCAACGGCCCAGACUCCUACGGGAGGCAGCAGUGGGGAAUUUUGGGCAAUGGGCGAAAGCCUGAUCCAGCCAUCCCGCGUGUGCGAUGAAGGCCUUCGGGUUGUAAAGCACUUUUGGCAGGAAAGCGGUACCUACAGAAUAAGCACCGGCUAACUACGUGCCAGCCGCCGCGGUAAUAC
rnacentral:rRNA from 1 species